rnacentral:rRNA from 1 species
GCGUUUCGAAAAUGAAUCAAAACUUUCAACAACGGAUCUCUUGGUUCUGGCAUCGAUGAAGAACGCAGCGAAAUGCGAUAAGUAAUGUGAAUUGCAGAAUUCAGUGAAUCAUCGAAUCUUUGAACGCACAUUGCGCCCGCCAGUAUUCUGGCGGGCAU